GGGGCUAACUUACCUGGGGGUGAGAGCCUGCUUCUAACGCAGGCGUCGUGCGGUUCGAUCCCGCAUAGCUCCACCA
rnacentral:tRNA from 1 species